AUUUUUAAAAUGAUUCUGUAAUAGGUCUAUGUCGAAAAACAUCUCAGAAGUGUAAAAUGAAUGAUUGAUAUUUAGUCUAAUUACAUAAAAUACAGAAGGAUUCCAUAAGGGAAAAACAUAAACAAAGACAAAAUAUAAUUAGAAUCCAGGGGAAAAUUUGCAACUCAUAUAGACAAAUGGCUAAUUUCCUUAAUGCAUUAAUACCAAAUUAAUCACUAAGAAAAAGUCUAUAACUCAUUAGCAAACUAGAUAAGAAUUUUUAUUUAAAAAUUACACAAGUGGCUCUUUAGCAUGUAAAUAAGCUCAACCUCAUUCAAAAUAAAUGAAAAUUAAGCAGCAGUGACCAUUCUUCAUCCAUGAUAUUGGCAAAUAUAAAAAAAAAAUGAAAACACUAAUUGAGUUAGGGGUUGAGGGUAAGGGGAAAUAAAUAUUCUUGAACAGUUUUAGUAAGAGGGUAAAUUGCUACAACUCCAUGGAAAGAAAUUUUGGUAAUCUUUAUCCAAAACAAAAAUGCAAACCCUUUGUUUCAAGAAAUUCUAUUAUUAAUUUUUCCUAAAAACUAUUUUUACAAAUGCAAAAUGAAGAAUUCAUAAGUACAUCUACUGUAGCACUAUUUGUAAUAGCAAAAACCAGAAAACAACAUAAGCAUCCAGCAAUAAGGGUCAGGUUAAAUAAAUUGUAGUUUCAUACAAUGGGAUACUACACAGCCUUUAAUAAGAGUAAAAUUGGUCUUUAUGCACUGAUAUAAUCUAUAACCGGCAGCAUAGAUUUUUUUUUUUUUUNGUUUUUUUGUCUUUUUAGGGCUAUACCCGUGGCAUAUGGAGGUUCCCAGGCUAGGGGUUGAAUCGGAGCUGUAGCCGCUGGCCUACACCACAGCCACAGCAAUGCCAGAUCCAAGUGGUGUCUGCAACCUACACCACAGCUGAUGGCAAUGCCAGAUCCUUAACCCACUGAGCGAGGCCAGGGAUUGAACCAGUAUCCUCAUGGGUGCUAGUCAGGUUCCUUAACACUGAGCCACGAGGGGAACUCCAUGCAAAGUAGAUUUUAAAGUGAAAAAUACAAGAUGCAAAACAUGUGUACCAAGCUACCAUUUAUGUAAAAAUAUUUUUUUCAUGUAUACCUUCACAAACAGAAUAUUUCUGGAUAAGAAACAAUAACAGGGUUUACCUCCAAGGAAGGACACUGAGUGACGGGAUACAGGAAUGGGAGAAAGAUCCAAGUUUCACUGUAUUCGCUUUUGUACAUUAAAUUUUUCUUGUGAGUAUAUUCCUAAUUCAAAAUAGAUUUAAAAAUUGAAUCUCCAUCAAUAACUUCCUGAUCUGGGUUUUUAAAGUGAGUCUUAGAUUUGGAAGAGACUUCAGAGAUUAUCUUGUCCAAUCUUUUUUAGCAAUGAAGGAAACGUGUACCACAGGAGCAGUGGAUAAUUUUUUACUUUCUUGAACAUUUUAUUGGUGGGAGCCUACUCCUUAUUGAAACAAACAGCUCGUUCUGCCUUUGUAUAGGUUCAAUUUAUUUAUUCAUUGAUCUAUUUAGCUAAUAUUUAUUUAAUAUUUAAUAAGCAUUUAGCAUGGUGUGACUGUUGUAAUUCCUCCAUUAUAUAGACCCCCCCAAAGGGGUCUUUUAUUUGGCAUCGAUUUAUUUUACUUUCAGUUUCUAGAGAAUUACAUGAGUACCCUUCAGUAACUGGAGAACACUUAUUCUGUGCUAAAUAUACUCUACUCCCUGUUCUGUUUCUUAUAAGCAAUAUGAAGUGGUUUUCAGACCCUUGCUCACCCCAGGAAUAAUUUAAUCUAUUUUUGUAUGCCUUCUUCACUGUGGUACCCUGAACUGAUUUCAACAUUCCCGAGUGGCCAGACUAACAGAGAGUAGAUAUAUUUUUAUCUGGGUUGCAUAGUUUUAUUAAUACGGUUUAACAUUAUGUUCAUUUUUGUUGACCAUGUUGUGAAAAGGGUCAAACUGAAUUUACAGUCAAAGAGUCAGUGAGAAAGAAAAGACAACCUCACAGAUAAGGGAAAAAAUUUUUUAAUCAUAUAGUGAUAACAGACUGUGUCAAGAUGAUGAAAAAAGCACUUGCAACUCAAUCAUAAAUAGAUAAGUAACCCAAUUAAAAGAUGGACAAAGGGUUUGAAUAGGACAUACACCAGCAAUUGUGCUCCUAGACAUUUGUCUGGGAGACAUGAAAACGUAUAUCCACACAAAAAUUUCUACAUGAAUGUUCAUACAUAACAGUAUUAUUCAGAAUGAUCAAAAAAUGGAGACAAUCCAAAUGUUCAUCAACUGACAAAUUAACAAAUACAGUGUACUCAUGCAAUAGAAUAUCUUUUAGCCAGAAAGAGGAAUGAAGUACUGAUAUAUUCUACAAUCUGGAUGAACCUUGAAAACACUAUGCUAAAAAGUCACAGAAAAGAUCACAUAUUGUAUGAUUCCAUUUAUGUGAAAUGUCCAAAACAAGCAAAUCUAUGAUGGCAAAAAGCAAAUUAGUGAUUGCCAAGCAAUGAGGGGAGUGUAGAAUGGGAAUGACUGCUAAUGAGUAUGGGGUUUAUUUUAGGGGCAAUGAAAUAUUCUAAAAUGUUAUUGUGGUGACAGUUGAAUAACUCAGCUAAUAUACUAAAACCCACUGGAUUUUACAUUUUAAAAUUUUAUAAUGUAUGAUUUAUAGCUCAAUAAAUCUGUUUCUUGUAAAAGUAGAACCUGUAGGUCAGAGAUUGUUAUGAAUUUUGUGCCAUGAAAUUGCACUGGCAACCUUGUGUUGAAUCCUUUCUUGGAAUACUUUUACAUAUAAAAAUAAAAUGCACAAGACUGCAAAAUGAAGGCAGUUAACUGAAAUACAAUUUUAGUCUCAGGCUCACCUUUUGAAAUAUUGUCAAGUCAUGUCUCCAUUGUCAUUGCUAAUUUUGAACCUUAAUGCAGAGAUGCAUAUUUAUUUUUGUUAAAUUUUGUCUUGCUUGCUUUUCAUCCCUUCAGCCUGUCAAGAUCUUUUUGAUAUCUGUUACUGUCAUUCCACAUUUGUCCUUGAGCUUUGUUGGAGGUAUAAUACAUAUUCCUCCUUUUUCUUCAUUUGAAUUAUUGAUGGGAAUGUUGAAUAAUAACAUAUGGCUAGGUUCAGACCUUAUAGCCCUCAACUACUUGAUUUUACUACACAAAACUAUGCAUACUUUUAAGAAAGUUACUUACAAAAUCUCAUUCUCAUCUAGCCAACAUACCAUAGUUUUUAUCUACAAAAUGUUAUUUAUUCAUUUGUUGAUUAAAUAUACAUUAAUCAAGUACCUGCUAUGGGCCAGGAUCUUUGCUAGAUGCUGGAAGUAUGAUGGUGAAAAUGACAUAUUCUCUGCUUUUCAUUUAACUUACAGUCUAGCAGGGGGAGCAAGGUGAGGAGCGAGGGAGACUGUUGAAGCAGUUCAGAGGCCAGAUCAUGAAACGUCCUAGAUAGCAAACUAAGAUGGCAUAUUUGCAUAUCAUGUAAAACUUCAGUUCUCUAUGUUCCCUAAUAUUACCAUUAAUAACCCUGUUAAAAAAUGAAGAGUUAUGAAUUAGACAUGACUUUUCUCUGAGAACCCAUUUUUGUCUCCCUGUCAACCCUUCUCUCCAAGUGCUUAUAAGCCAUCUCUUUUUAGCAACUUCUUAAAUAAUUUUGCAGGAGGUGGGCACAUGGAUCAAAGACCAAAAUAAACUGUCAGCAAUAAGAAAGAAGAAUGAAGCCAACUCUCAAAGAGAAGUCGGGAGGGAAGUAGAAGUAGGCUGGGCAGUGUUCAAAACUGAGUUCAAAUUUUCAUGACUGCCAGGUUUUUGAGGGGGCUUUAUGAGGCAGUGAUGUUGUAUUAAUUUCUUUUUCUGCUUGAAAUGGUUUGAGUUUUUUGAGACCUGUUAUUGAAACUCCUCUGGCUAAUACAGAUGUGCUGCCUUCUCAGCUUUUCUGAGAACACAUGGGCCUUCUUAAAACACAGCGUGACUUGCUCCUCUUUUCUUUUCACUCUGUUUCUUCUAAACCAAACGUAUUCUUGUUUUCCAUUGCUGUCUACUUUUUUUUUUUCUUUUUAUGGCUGCUCCUGUGGCAUAGGGAGGUUCCCAGGCUAGGGGUCAAAUCAGAGCUACAGCUGCAGGCCUACAUCACAGCCACAGCAACACCAUAUUCAAGCUACAUCUGGGAUCUACACUGUAGCUCGUGGCAACACCAAAUCCUUAACUCACUGAGCGAGGCUAGGGAUCAAA
rnacentral:lncRNA from 1 species